rnacentral:rRNA from 1 species
UCCAAGCUCCAUGGAUUAAAACUGCCAUGGCGCGUUGUAGACUAAAGGGGCGUUAUCUUGCGUGGGCCGAGUAUAUAUCCGUUGGAACACGGUAUCAUAGAGGGUGAGAAUCCCGUCCAUGACUCGGUCGAAUACCAUGCAUAUACGUUACGCUUCCAAAGAGUCGGGUUGUUUGGGAAUGCAGCCCAAAAUGGGUGGUAAAUUUCAUCUAAGGCUAAAUAUAGGCACGAGACCGAUAGCGAACAAGUACCAUGAGGGAAAGAUGAAAAGAACUUUGAAAAGAGAGUCAAAAAGUACGUGAAACCGUUAAAGGGGAAACGAAUGGAGCUAGCAUUUGUGCAUGCCAUAAUCAGUCAGACGCUGCUUGGGGGGCGGCCGUGUGGGUUACGGGGACACAGUUAAACGUGUCUCUGGCCUGUGCGGUCGUUUCUUUUACCUGGGCAGCGGCUGGUGCACUUGUGGUAUUGGACAGGCCAACAUCAGUUUUUCUUGGGACACAAGCUUCAGGGGAAGGUAGUUGCGGCGCCUCGGUGUCGUAAUGUUAUAACCCCUGCUGUGCAAAUGUCCUGGGAGAGACUGAGGAGUAGCAGCGCGCAUAAAUUCGGAGAGCUACCGCUGGGGCUGCGGGUGUGGAAGGACUGUGUCCAUGUCUUUUAAUUAAGCGUGGAUGCAGUUGGCCAUGCCGUCAAUUUGGGUUAGCUGAAUGGCAAUUUAUUGYCAGGAGGCGCCUGAAGAUCUGCAGCCUGAYACGGGGUGUACCCAGACCACGCGCUUGUGAUGUUGGCGAAAAAUGGCUUCAUCCGACCCGUCUUGAAACACGGACCAAGGAGUCUAACAUAUACGCGAGUCUUUGGGUUGAAAGCCCGCAGGCACAAUGAAAGUGAAGGCAUACAUGGUGUGCUGAGGUGAGACGCUGGGUCGCUCGUUCUUCUCUGUCAAAGGGGGGGAGUGGGAGGCACUGCUGCAUCAUCGACCGAUCCGGAUGGUUCUAUCCUGAAAGAUUUGAGUAAGAGCGUAUCUGUUGGGACCCGAAAGAUGGUGAACUAUGCCUGAACAGGGUGAAGUCUGAGGAAACUCAGAUGGAAGCUCGUAGCGAUUCUGACGUGCAAAUCGAUCGUCUGAUUUGGGUAUAGGGGCGAAAGA